rnacentral:lncRNA from 1 species
GUACAAGAAUCCAUGUUAUUAACUUCAAUAGAUGCCUGAGUAACAGCAGGGGCAGAACAUCCAGAAGAAAUAUUAGACAUCUCUUGCUCCUUCAAGCAGUUAAUUUCCUGCAAAUUUCCAUUAAAGCGUUUGGCUGCAGUAUCUGCUAGUUGAUCCUCAUCAUUUUUUCUCCCAUACAUUGCAGGUUGAUCCUCGUCAUUUUUUCUCCCACCCAAUCCAUCAACUGAUGGCCGUACACAUUUCAUAUCACAAGACACUAUCACCUUGCUAGGCACAUCUUUCCACUGAGAAGCAUGACAAUCAAUUUUUUUAUGGUUUUGGCCCUUCGAUUUU